UGGGAACCCAUUUUUUCGCUUUCAGAAUGGAGUUUGGCUAAUUGGUACAGCUCUGCUGGAAGCGUGAGAAUAAACAGGUUGACUUUUUAAAUUUUCCUCAAGCACUAGGCAGGCUCCAGACACCUAAAUCGGGGGCGGAGGUAGUUUUCAAGACAUGGCCGAGAUUUGGCGCUGAGCUGUGUCAUCGCGAGGUUUGGUAGCAAGCUCCGCAGUGGGUCGGAAACCUCGUGGAGCGUGCACCUGGUCUCGCGAGAUCUCAUGUUUCCUAAAGGCGAGGCGCGGGCGGUAUCCUGCAGUGAAUUACGAAGGUCUCGC
ensembl:lncRNA